GCCGGUGUGGUGGAAUUGGUAGACGCAGUGGAUUCAAAAUCCGCCGCCUUCGGGCGUGCCGGUUCGAGUCCGGCCACCGGCA
rnacentral:tRNA from 1 species